GUCUGAAUUUCCUGCUGCUAUUCACAAAGAUGCUUUUUAUCUUUAACUUUUUGUUUUCCCCACUUCCAACCCCGGCAUUGAUCUGCAUCCUGACAUUUGGAGCUGCCAUCUUCCUGUGGCUGAUCACCAGACCUCAACCCGUCUUACCUCUUCUUGACCUGAACAAUCAGUCUGUGGGAAUUGAGGGAGGAGCGCGGAAGGGUAUUUCCCAGAAGAACAAUGACCUAAUAAGUCACUGCUUCUCAGAUGCCACGACUAUGUAUGAGGUUUUCCAAAGAGGACUCGCUGUAUCUGACAAUGGGCCCUGCUUGGGAUAUAGAAAACCAAACCAGCCCUACAGAUGGCUAUCCUACAAACAGGUGUCUGAUAGAGCAGAGUACCUGGGUUCCUGUCUCUUGCAUAAAGGAUAUAAAUCGUCACAGGACCAAUUUGUCGGCAUCUUUGCUCAGAAUAGGCCAGAGGUAACUAUGUUGAAGCUAACUAAAGGAAAUGAGUCAAGGUUAAGUUUAAACGCUUCAAAUGCUAUUCCCCAUCCAGCACUCCAACACUUUUUAAUGCUUUACCAAAGCUAUUGUUAAAAUUUUCUAAUGCUUAUUCUGCUUGAAAGAGUUACAACUCAGAACCUACUUAAUUUCUGGUUAAGUGUCUAGCACUGUCACCUAGGUGUUCGGACUUCUCUUGUUUCCC
rnacentral:lncRNA from 1 species